UAAUUUAAUGGUUCCACAGUUUUCUGGCCACAUCCAAUAUUUUGAGGCCCUCAGCCUGAUAGUGGAUAUCGGGCUGGGCUUCAACUUUCUUUCCACUGUUUUGGGCACAUUUGGCGAUGUGUCGCAGUUUCCUCCUUGGUAUGGCCAAUUGUGCAGUUUGUUUAUUGGCCACAAGGGCGCUCGGGGAGUUUAGUGUUAGCCUCCACACUCACUCCCCUUACCACAGCUGAUUUUCCCCUAUGCAAUGUCGUUAGCAAUCUUCCUUUUUUGUCGGUAAUACUGACAACACAGCCCCUGUCCAUCUGUGAUCAGCUUGUCUUGUUUGCUGUGUGCAUUGUCACACAUACUUUCUUGAGCCCACUUGUCCACUGAUGGGGUUAAAUUUCUCCCCACCGUUUGACAUAGUGAGCUCUCUGCUUGAUCCAUUCCACCUGUCAUCCCAUCAAGCCUCCUCACGCUGCAGGUGUAUUGCACGCAUUGCUUUGGGACUUGUUUCAGCUGUGAUUGGCCCACCCGAUAUCAUGUGAUGCUUACACGUCACACAUCGGGUUAGGACAGCCUAUUUAAACGGCAUUUUGCUGCACACUCAGUGCAGAAUGCCGCAGGGUCAUAUGUUCAGUGAGCACUCUUGUCCUUAAUGCUUUGCAGUUCCCCUUCUGGAUCAAGCAGCUGAUUUCUUCUGGCUUUAUACACACUAAGCUUAUUGUGACUUUGCAACACUGCCUGCGAUCCUUAUAUAGAUCUUAUACAGAUAUUUUGGGAAAUCUACAUGAUUCCUUCCUUGAAUUAACACUGCAGCUGGAUUGCUCAUUGAUGUCCCUGGUCUUUAACCCCAUAAACCGUUAUAUAUGAUCAUGCACAUGACCAUUUUCACCUCGGCGGUUUUCUGUGUUUGUCGCUAGUUGUGGGCAACUCGUGGGUAAGAUAGUGUGGUCUUUAAACUUUGGAACCAUUUUUUACCAUUAUAUGUUGUACCUGAUUUAAGCAAUUGGAAUGUGUAUCAUAUUUUACUGGUUAAUGCUUGUAUAUAUACCUUUCAGUUGCAUAUUUUGACUGGAUAUCGCUCCCUCCCCUGAAGAAGCGGAAGUCCGCGAAACAUGUAGGGUCUAUGCGAUUUCCUUUUCCAGUUGCAUCCAU